UAAUUAUUGAAAAUCCUGGUCAAAAUAUGACGCUAAAUAUAAAGGGGACUAAUAAACCAGGACGGAGAUAGUAGAUCAAUCUAAGUUCAACAAUACCCUAGAUAUAUGACUACACACACACACACACACACACACACACACACACACACACACACACACACACACACUAUUUAUGAUACUACCACUACAAAUGUUAUACAAAUGGAAUAUAUAUUUUUUGUGUGGGCAUCUGGCUUCACAGAGUAUUUUGGUUCGCCGGAAAAGGAAUGGAAAAAACUAGUUAGAUAGACGCACGGAAAUUCGAAAUCCAGGCAACACGACCACAGCAUUUGAACUUGCAACACCAGGUUAGGCAGACAUCGUAAAAUUGAAUUGGCCGCACGAG
rnacentral:lncRNA from 1 species